UCAGCAAGAGUUCAUAGCCAAAUGGAGGUCCUUGGACCUGGACGUGCUGCUGGCGCCAGCUCUGGACCCUGCCUUUUAUAUAGGCUAUCCUGCCAAAGCAGGAGAGAGCGUCUCUUACAUGGCCCUAUACAACCUGCUGACCUUCCCUGUCGGCCUGGUGCCGGUCACCACCGUGACAGUACAGGAUGAGGAAGAACUGACCUUCCACAAGGGAUACUACGGAGAUCUGAUAGAAAUUUCCAGGAGGUGGUGAGAGAGUCCGCGGGACUUCCGGUAGCUGUGCAGUGCAUUGCUUUGCCAUGGGAAGAGGAGCUGUGUCUUUGGUUCAUGAAGGAGGUGGAGACCUUGACCAAGAAUGCGAGGGGACCCAAGUGAUGGGCCAUUUUGUCUCCUGGAGACCUUCCUACAUUCUCAUCCAAGUCUGCUCUCAAUGCCGCUUCCUUCUUAUGAAAAUCAUAUCUGCCUCAUAUCUCCUCCUCCUGGAAGCCCACCAGAUUCUUUUUCUUUGUAGUCCCUCUGGGUGCUCAAUCCAUGGGCUCAGAUCAGUCCAAGAUGGGGAGUAGGAUGAAGGGCUCAAUAAACAUUUUUGACUGGCCAGCCUUGUGGUCUCUGAUCUAGGUGGGGCUGUAGCCUCCUGGUGGCCUUCUGCCUCCAGCUGUUCUCUUCCAGCUCAGUCCCCCAGAUUCCAUCCAAGAUUGCAGCAGAAGGGAAUGAGUCCCAAAUCAAGAGGCUGGAGACCUGGGUCCAAGUCCUGGUUCCGCCCCUGGCUGCUGUGCUGGGCAAGUUACGU